CAGGGUAACAGAGGAGUGAGUCUCUGACCUAGGGUUGGGGUUUCACCCAGCUGGGACACCAACGGGAGCCUGGGAAUGAGACAGUGUGGUCAUGGAGAUGCCCCACUAGGGCCACACUGUGGUGCUGCCACCAGGCUCCCCCCUGUAAUGGAGCUCCUGGUGCCUGAAGCUGUGACAACACCUGGGAUCUGGCCUGUGACAGUGCCUCCUGGGUGCCACUUUUGGCCUUGAUGGUGCCCCCCCAUGCCCAACUCUGAGUCUGUGAGUGCCAGGUGGAGAAGCUGCCUGCUUGCCACGUGCAGCUUUGGCUUGGACCUGGUCUCUUCUCAGAAGACACUACCUGUGGUAGGAGACAGCAACUUAACCACUGGUUCUGAAUUUUCAAGAGACCACCUGUUCUGGCCUGAGGAGGCAGCUUCCUGAGAAGCAGCAGCUUGCCUGGGUCUUCGUGAAUCAUCAGAAUAAAUGACAUCUUGGGAACUCUCCCCACUACUCCACGCAGAUUCCUGUGCAAGGCCGCAGGCUUCUCCACGAGGUUGGCUCACCCCUGCCCCACCCCACUGCCAGGGUUGUGGAGAGCAUGGGGUAGUGAGGAGCACACACUGCUGGAACUGAGUGGACAGGGGCCCCCAAUGUGAAAACUGGAAUCAUGUGGUAAAGCAGACAAUGUGCCUGCAGUUCCACUCCUGUUGGUGUGCACAGCAGCAAACAAGGGAUUGUAUUCAGGUGCACUGCUGGGCAGAGCCCCAGGGUGAAACCACCCAACUGCCGUCAAGGUGGGGCGGAGGCACAGGACUCAAAAGGAGACAGAGACACAGUGAAUCUCAAAGACAUCCUGUUGAGCAAAAGUCAGACACAAAAAGGUACAUCCUGUUUGAAAUUCAAAAACAAGCCAAACAAACUAUUUUUAGGGCUACAUGGCAGAAAAUCAAGGAAACGCUCACCCCUACCAUCAGAUUUCAUCAGGGGGAAAGAGAGAGGAGAAAGAAAAUCCAGAGAAGAAAAACCCUGUCUAUUCUUCUGCCUUUGCGGAAAAUAAUACCUUAAAGGAACAAUCAAUCAAUAAAACAAAAUAAACAUCAUCAACAAACAGAAUAAAAUUCUUUAUCACCACCACUGUGAAUACAGCAAAGUGACAUGAAGCAGUUGAAAGUAAAAGGACAGGCAAAAAUACAUUAAGUAUAUGCAUGCAAAAAUAGAAAUGGAAAUGUUAAUUUCUGAAAAUGUGAUUUGGGACAAAAAAAGAAAAAAUUGUGUUGAAAAAUAAAAAUUACAAUGAAUAUGGAACUCAUAAAGUUCUGUUCACUGAUAAAAUAACAUCAAACAUAAAGCAAAAUCAGCAGUAUGUGAGAAAUUGAAAAAAACUUCACUUGUAGUGAAAGGGUCUUCUCCAACUCUGUCUUUGAGGGGUGGAGUAUCUAUAAAAACCACACACUAGACUACUAAUAAAACUACAAUA